AGGGUUUGAUUCUGGCUCAGAGCGAACGCUGGCGGCGUGGAUGAGGCAUGCAAGUCGCACGAGAAAGUUUCCUUCGGGAAGCGAUUAAAGUGGCGAAAGGGUGAGUAAUAAAUAGGUAACCUGCCUAUCAGUCAGGGACAACUCUCUGAAAAGGGAGCUAAUACCGGAUGGUAUUCAAUGUCUUCGGAUGCUUGAAUUAAAGCUGGGGACCCCUUCGGGGGCCUAGCGCUGAUAGAGGGGCUUAUUUCCUAUUAGCUUGUUGGUGAGGUAAUGGCUCACCAAGGCAAAAAUGGGUAGCCGAUCUGAGAGGAUGACCGGUCACACUGGAACUGAGACACUGUCCAGACUCCUACGGGAGGCUGCAGUCGAGAAUCUUCCGCAAUGGGCGCAAGCCUGACGGAGCGACGCCGCGUGAAGGAUGAAGGCCUUCGGGUUGUAAACUUCUGUUAUGUGUUAUGAAGUGCUCCUUGAACAAUACACUUGGAGUGUUGACAAAGGCACAAGAGGAAGCCACGGCUAAAUUCGUGCCAGCAGCCGCGGUAAUACGAAUGUGGCAAGCGUUGCUCGGAAUCACUGGGCUUAAAGAGUCCGUAGGUGGCUUAGUCAGUCAGAUGUGAAAUCCCCUGGCUCAACCAGGGAACUGCAUUUGAUACUGCUUUGCUAGAGGUCGAGAGAGGAAAGCGGAAUUCUGGGUGUAGCGGUGGAAUGCGUUGAUAUCCAGGAGAACACCGGAGGCGAAGGCGGCUUUCUGGAUCGAUUCUGACACUGAGGGACGAAAGCUAGGGGAGCAAACAGGAUUAGAUACCCUGGUAGUCCUAGCCGUAAACGAUGGGCACUACAUGGAAGGCAUCUGUUUUCCGUGGGAGCAAAAGCAUUAAGUGCCCCGCCUGGGGAGUAUGGUCGCAAGGCUAAAACUCAAAGAAAUUGACGGGGGCUCACACAAGCGGUGGAGCAUGUUGCUUAAUUCGAGUAUACGCGAAGAACCUUACCCAGGUUUGACAUGCACGAAUUAGUCCGGUGAAAGUCGGAUGACGCCCUUACGGGUGGAACGUGCACAGGUGUUGCAUGGCCGUCGUCAGCUCGUGUCGUGAGAUGUCGGGUUAAGUCCUUUAACGAGCGAAACCCUUAUCCUUAGUUGCCAGCGAGUAAUGUCGGGGACUCUAGGGAGACUGCCGGUGUUAAACCGGAGGAAGGUGGGGAUGACGUCAGGUCAUCAUGACCCUUAUGCCUGGGGCUGCAAACGUGCUACAAUGGAGUGUACAGAAAGAAGCAAUGUCGUGAGGCGGAGCAAAUCUCAAAAACACUCCCUAGUUCGGAUUGAAGGCUGCAAUUUGCCUUCAUGAAGUCGGAAUCGCUAGUAAUCGCGGGUCAGCAAUACCGCGGUGAAUACGUUCCUGAGCCUUGUACACACCGCCCGUCAAGCCACUCAAGCUGAUCGCACCCGAAGUCACGACUGAACCCUUCCCGGGACAGAGUGGCCGAAGGUGAGGUUGGUAAGAGGGACUAAGUCGGAACAAGGUA
rnacentral:rRNA from 1 species